rnacentral:rRNA from 1 species
CGGAGGAAAAGAAACCAACUGGGAUUGCCUUAGUAACGGCGAGUGAAGCGGCAAUAGCUCAAAUUUGAAAGCUGGCGCCUUCGGCGUCCGCGUUGUAAUUUGUAGAGGAUGCUUCGGCGAGGACUCCUGCCUAAGUUCCCUGGAAUGGGACGUCACAGAGGGUGAGAAUCCCGUAUGUGGCGGGCGGUCCAAGCCAUGUGAAGCUCCUUCGACGAGUCGAGUUGUUUGGGAAUGCAGCUCUAAAUGGGAGGUAAAUUUCUUCUAAAGCUAAAUACCGGCCAGAGACCGAUAGCGCACAAGUAGAGUGAUCGAAAGAUGAAAAGCACUUUGGAAAGAGAGUUAAAAAGUACGUGAAAUUGUUGAAAGGGAAGCGCUUGCAACCAGACUCGCUCGCAGUUGCUCAGCCCGCCUCCUGGCGGGUGUACUCUUCUGCGAUCGGGCCAGCAUCAGUUCGGGCGGCCGGAUAAAGGUGUCGGGAAUGUAGCACCCUUCGGGGUGUGUUAUAGCCCGGCGCGGAAUGCGGCCAGCCUGGACUGAGGAUCUCGC